GCUUACACAUGCAGUCGAGCGGUAACAGAGAGUAGCUUGCUACUUUGCUGACGAGCGGCGGACGGGUGAGUAAUGCUUGGGAAUAUGCCUUUGAGUGGGGGACAACAGUUGGAAACGACUGCUAAUACCGCAUAAUGUCUACGGACCAAAGGGGGGGAUUCUUCGGAACCUCUCGCUCAUAGAUUAGCCCAAGUGAGAUUAGCUAGUUGGUAAGGUAAUGGCUUACCAAGGCGACGAUCUCUAGCUGGUUUGAGAGGAUGAUCAGCCACACUGGGACUGAGACACGGCCCAGACUCCUACGGGAGGCAGCAGUGGGGAAUAUUGCACAAUGGGCGAAAGCCUGAUGCAGCCAUGCCGCGUGUGUGAAGAAGGCCUUCGGGUUGUAAAGCACUUUCAGUUGUGAGGAAAGGGAUGUAGUUAAUAACUGCAUUCUGUGACGUUAGCAACAGAAGAAGCACCGGCUAACUCCGUGCCAGCAGCCGCGGUAAUACGGAGGGUGCGAGCGUUAAUCGGAAUUACUGGGCGUAAAGCGUGCGUAGGCGGUUUGUUAAGCAAGAUGUGAAAGCCCCGGGCUCAACCUGGGAACUGCAUUUUGAACUGGCAGGCUAGAGUAUUGUAGAGGGUGGUGGAAUUUCCAGUGUAGCGGUGAAAUGCGUAGAGAUUGGAAGGAACAUCAGUGGCGAAGGCGGCCACCUGGACAAAUACUGACGCUGAGGCACGAAAGCGUGGGGAGCAAACAGGAUUAGAUACCCUGGUAGUCCACGCCGUAAACGAUGUCAACUAGCUGUCUGUAGACUUGAUCUGUGGGUAGCGCAGCUAACGCGAUAAGUUGACCGCCUGGGGAGUACGGCCGCAAGGUU
rnacentral:rRNA from 1 species